rnacentral:rRNA from 1 species
UACCAGCUCUUCGAGUGGUGUGGAUGUCUAUUGGGCCUAAAGCAUCCGUAGCUGGCUGGGCAAGUCCCCUGUUAAAUCCACCGAUUUAAUCGUUGGAGUGCGGGGGAUACUGUUCGGCUAGGGGACGGGAGAGGCAGACGGUAUUUUCGGGGUAGGGGUGAAAUCCUAUAAUCCCGAGAAGACCACCAGUGGCGAAGGCUGUCUGCUAGAACGCGCCCGACGGUGAGGGAUGAAAGCUGGGGGAGCGAACCGGAUUAGAUACCCGGGUAGUCCCAGCUGUAAACGAUGCAGGCUAGGUGUUUGGACGGCCACGUGCCGUUCUAGUGCCGCAGGGAAGCCGUUAAGCCUGCCGCCUGGGGAGUACGGCCGCAAGGCUGAAACUUAAAGGAAUUGGCGGGGGAGCACCGACAGGGGGUGAAGCUUGCGGUUU